rnacentral:rRNA from 1 species
AUUGAACGCUGGCGGCAGGCUUAACACAUGCAAGUCGAGCGAGCGGCGGACGGGUGAGUAAUGUCUGGGAAACUGCCUGAUGGAGGGGGAUAACUACUGGAAACGGUAGCUAAUACCGCAUACCAUCGGAUGUGCCCAAAUGGGAUUAGCUAGUAGGUGGGGUAAAGGCUCACCUAGUCGACGAUCCCUAGCUGGUCUGAGAGGAUGACCAGCCACACUGGCACUGGGACACGGCCCAGACUCCUACGGGGGGCAGCAGUGGGGAAUAUUGCACAAUGGGCGCAAGCCUGAUGCAGCCAUGCCGCGUGUGUGAAGAAGGCCUUCGGGUUGUAAAGUACUUUCAGUGAGGAGGCGUUACCCGCAGAAGAAGCACCGGCUAACUCCGUGCCAGCAGCCGCGGUAAUUC